UGGGGAAUAUUGCACAAUGGGCGCAAGCCUGAUGCAGCGACGCCGCGUGAGGGAUGACGGCCUUCGGGUUGUAAACCUCUUUCAGCAGGGACGAAGCGCAAGUGACGGUACCUGUAGAAGAAGGACCGGCCAACUACGUGCCAGCAGCCGCGGUAAUAAUCGAAUU
rnacentral:rRNA from 1 species